UACGAAGGGUGCAAGCGUUACUCGGAAUUACUGGGCGUAAAGCGUGCGUAGGUGGUUUGUUAAGUCUGAUGUGAAAGCCCUGGGCUCAACCUGGGAAUUGCAUUGGAUACUGGCAGGCUAGAGUGCGGUAGAGGGUAGUGGAAUUCCCGGUGUAGCAGUGAAAUGCGUAGAGAUCGGGAGGAACACCAGUGGCGAAGGCGACUACCUGGACCAGCACUGACACUGAGGCACGAAGGCCAGGGGAGCAAACGGG
rnacentral:rRNA from 1 species